ACAUGGUCCAAGACCUCACACACCAGGUAAUUAACAUGGUCUCAGACCUCCCACGCCAGGUAAUUAACAUGGCCCAAGACCUCACACACCAGGUAAUUAACAUGGCCCAAGACCUCACACACCAGGUAAUUAACAUGGCCCAAGACCUCACACACCAGGUAAUUAACAUGGUCCAAGACCUCACACACCAGGUAAUUAACAUGGCCCAAGACCUCCCACGCCAGGUAAUUAACAUGGUCUCAGACCUCCCACGCCAGGUAAUUAACAUGGCCCAAGACCUCACACGCCAGGUAAUUAACAUGGCCCAAGACCUCACACACCAGGUAAUUAACAUGGCCCAAGACCUCACACACCAGGUAAUUAACAUGGCCCAAGACCUCACACACCAGGUAAUUAACAUGGCCCAAGACCUCACACGCCAGGUAAUUAACAUGGCCCAAGACCUCACACGCCAGGUAAUUAACAUGGCCCAAGACCUCACACGCCAGGUAAUUAACAUGGCCCAAGACCUCACACGGCAGGUAAUUAACAUGGCCCAAGACCUCACACACCAGG